rnacentral:rRNA from 1 species
AUAUUAAUAAGCAGAGGAAAAGAAACCAAUAGGGAUUGCCCUAGUAACGGCAAGUGAAGCGGUAACAGCUUAGAUUUAGAAUCUAGCCCCCUCCUAAGGGCCUAAGUUGUAAUCUAGAGAGGAUGCUUCUAGCGCGGCGCCCGCCGAGUUCCUUAGAACAGGACGCCUAAGAGGGUGAGAGCCCUGUACGGCAGCGCGCCUAGCCUUUGUAAAGCUCCUUUGGCGAGUCGAGUAGUUUAAGAAUACUGCUUAAAAUAGGAGGUAAAUUUCUUCUAAAGCUAAAUACCGGCUAAAGACCGAUAGCGCACAAGUAGAGUAAUUGAAAGAUAAAAAGCACUUUAAAAAGAGAGUUAAAUAGUACGUAAAAUUGUUAAAAGGGAAGCGCCUGUGGCUAAACGCGCGCCUUGGCAGAUUACCUAGCGUUCCUUGCUAGGGCACUCUGCCAAGGCGCGGGCUAGCAUUGGCUUCCACAGGGGGACAAGGGCGGCUAGGAACGUGGCUCCUCCUUCUAGGGGGAGUGUUAUAGCCCGCUGCACUAUGCCUCUAGGGAGGCCGAGGACCGCGCCCUUGGGCAAGGAUGCUGGCGUAAUAGCCACCGGUAACCCGUCUUAAAACACGGACUAAGGAGUUAAGCAUUAGGGCGAGUGUCUAGGUGCUAAACCUGCACGCGAAAUAAAAGUGAACGCAGGUGAGAGCCCUCUAGGGCGCAUCACCGACCGAUCCUAAUGUCCUUGGAUGGAUUUAAGUAAGAGCCUUGCCGCUUAAACCUAAAAGAUGGUGAACUAUGCCUGUAUAGGGUAAAGCCAAAGGAAACUCUAGUGGAGGCUCACAGCAGUUCUAACGUGUAAAUCGAUCGUUAAAUAUAGGCAUAGGGGCGAAAGACUAAUUGAACUAUUUAGUAGCUGGUUACUGCC